UAUGGCAUUGUCUUCUGGUCAGGCAGCAUCUCAGCCCGGGACAGAAAGAGACUGGAGCGACUGGUCAGGAGGGCCAGUUCUGUCCUGGGCUACUCCCUUGACAUUCUGGAGGAGGUGGGCAACAGAAGGAUGCUAACUAAGCUAAAAGCUAUGAUGGACAGUCCCUCCCACCCUCUCAUGCGCGGCCUGACAGCACUUGGUAGCCAGCCAGAGACUGUUACACCCGCGCUGCAAGAAGGAGAGAUACCGACGCUCGUUCCUACCGACUGCUGUCAGGCUGCUGAAUAAAAAUAACAAUAAUAAUUAAAUGAUGUGAAAAACAAUUGUAAAUAGCACUGCAAUUUAUCCAUUUUGUAUUUAUAUUGCACUUAAUUGAACGGUGUUUGGUUUUUCUUCUUUCUACCCACAUUCUUGCUGCUGGAGGCUGUAAAUUUCCCCAGUGUGGAGGUUUGUUGUGUAGGUGGUGAAUCUGGCCGGAUAGGACAGCACUCAACCGCCACCGAAAGAUGUCAGAUGACUUGUCAAGAGGAUUCCGGGCCCAAAUAAGCACAGUUAUGGAUUCUGUCCUCCGAACAGCAGUGUUUGAGCUCACAGAGCUUUUUGACAAAUGCAUACAUGACUAUAGCAUGCAGCUGGCUCAAAAAGGAGAUGUGAUCGCACAACUGGAAAUAAAGCUACCGGUACAAAAAAUAGCUCAGUUGCAGAAGGAACACAUGGACAGUUACGGAAGCACAGCAUGAUGAGAUUAUAGGCAUGACGGAAGAUUUGAGUUCUUCCAGCCAAAGUUCCACUAUUCCUGAGGAUAGCUUUGAAGGUGUCUCUGCCGAGUCUUGUGCUCCUCCGUUCCACAACACUUUCAAGAAAGAAGACCAGACUAUUUGCCCGAGUGUUAAGGUGCACCAGCUGUCCAUUCCACUGCAGCACUGUCCAGUCACCAGUCAGGUGAGAGACUGAAACUUUAGAUUUCCAAUGGCAAAACACAGAUGCCACUUUUAGUACAUGUUCUUAAGAAUGAUUACUCGCCGAUACCAAGUAUCCGUACUUGAUAAUGCCAUUACGUCUUGCAGUUGUGAUGAAAAUGUGUUUUAUUUUAACCAAAUGCUGUUAAAAACACAAACCUUUCUUGAACAUGCCACAAGGUUCACUCAAACAGAACACUUUUUAAAUCAUCUAAAAAGAGCCAAUACAAGAGCUGUAUCAAAAUUCAAAAUGUUUGUCGGCGCAAAAAUAAUAUUGCUCAGUUCUGUAUCAUCCUGAGAAUAGUUUCUAAUAUUUUGGUUACCUUGUUUGUGGGAAAUUAUGAGAAUCCCUGUUUUUGUGAUUGCGGAUGUCUUUUUUUUUUGUAUCUUGGAGUUAAUUUGGUUGCCAUUUAAAUUGUGGAGCUGUACUUCACGUUGUGACCAGUGGGUGCAUAUUAAAGUUAGCUUCAAAUGUG